UACGGAGGGUGCAAGCGUUAAUCGGAAUUACUGGGCGUAAAGCGUGCGCAGGCGGUUUGUUAAGUCCGUUGUGAAAGCCCCGAGCUCAACUUGGGAAUUGCAGUGGAUACUGGCAGGCUGGAGUACGGUAGAGGAAGGUGGAAUUCCCGGUGUAGCAGUGAAAUGCGUAGAUAUCCGGAGGAAUACCAAAGGCGAAGGCAGUGUCCUGGCUGGCAACUGACGCUGGAGGCGCGAAAGCUAGGGGAGCGAACAGG
rnacentral:rRNA from 1 species